rnacentral:lncRNA from 1 species
CAGGAAUUUAAUAUGUAAAAUAUAGAAUUAAUUCUAGUUCACGCGUGAAGAAAGAAAAGUAAAGGAAAACUUUUGGAGCAAUCGUGUGCAGCUUAACCGUGACAUUGCUAGAAAAUAAACCAAUUGAAAAAUGUGUUUCUUCCUCGGUGGCGGAUGCACCUCCAAAUUGAAUAAGCACUUCCUUUUUUUUUUCUCCAAAAAUAAAGUUGCAUCAAUGUAUCAGCAUCCACUUCGUGUAGCUUAGAAAGAUGUGGCAGCUAGCAUUCAAUCCGUGAGCUCUUGUGGAAGCUUUUCUCCAGCCAAAUCAAAUCACUGCAACGUGUUGAAUAAAUGAAGAUAGAAUCAUUUAAUCACAAGCAAAGAAAAUGAAAAUUAAUCUAGAGCUCUCAUUGAAUAAAAAAGUUCAAAACAUUGCUUCAUCCUAGCACCUAAAACAUUCAAGAAAGCUAAGCUAAUCCGUUGGAAGCUCCUUGCCAUUGUUCAAAGCAAAUUUUCUUUUUAAAUACAAGUGGCGGCUGGUACUAGGAAUCUCUCCUAGGGUAACGUGCCUACAUUCUUAAGCACACAUGUAGGUUCUUGGAUGCAGCAACCUGC